GACAGAGAGCAUCUCAGGGUAGAAGGAGAAGAAAGAUGGUGGCAGUCAGCAAGACUAUCUAUCCAUUGAAUAGAUGCUUACCAGCUUGGAGGUCUUUUCAGAAUAUGCUUAGGCAGUCGUACAUUGGGUACAGGGAAGAGCCCAUAAGUACUGUCUGGAGCUUACUUGUCAAAUGGUGCUUGGUCUGCAGAGAUGGAUGGAUGGAUGCUUUUCUCUCUCUCUUCCUUACAGCUCUGCCAACUUUCAAGUCUUUUUGAAGGAUAGUGGCACACACCAGUUCUGCUUGGAAGCUGAUGCCUUGAGGAGUUGAUCGCCUGCUGAGCUUGCCUUGCAACAGAAACCAGCUGAAACAAAGAAUUGCUCUUUGGGGUUUACCCAUAUAAAGGCAGAGCUGAAAAUAAAACUUUGACCCUGGAUCAGAAAUCU
rnacentral:lncRNA from 1 species